rnacentral:rRNA from 1 species
CAGCAGCCACGGGAAUACAUAGGGUGCAAGCGUUAAUCGGAAUUACUGGGCGUAAAGCGCGCGUAGGUGGUUUGUUAAGUUGGAUGUGAAAGCCCCGGGCUCAACCUGGGAACUGCAUCCAAAACUGGCAAGCUAGAGUACGGUAGAGGGUGGUGGAAUUUCCUGUGUAGCGGUGAAAUGCGUAGAUAUAGGAAGGAACACCAGUGGCGAAGGCGACCACCUGGACUGAUACUGACACUGAGGUGCGAAAGCGUGGGGAGCAAACAGGAUUAGAUACCCCCGUAGUCCCUGUCUCUUAUAA